GAGAAGUGGCGGCAGCUACCAUGACAGUCGAACGAUGAACCACCUUCGGGUGGGGAUUAGUGGCGAACGGGUGAGUAACACGUGGGCAAUCUGCCCUGCACUCUGGGACAAGCCCUGGAAACGGGGUCUAAUACCGGAUACUGAACCGCUUGGGCAUCCAGGCGGUUCGAAAGCUCCGGCGGUGCAGGAUGAGCCCGCGGCCUAUCAGCUUGUUGGUGAGGUAACGGCUCACCAAGGCGACGACGGGUAGCCGGCCUGAGAGGGCGACCGGCCACACUGGGACUGAGACACGGCCCAGACUCCUACGGGAGGCAGCAGUGGGGAAUAUUGCACAAUGGGCGAAAGCCUGAUGCAGCGACGCCGCGUGAGGGAUGACGGCCUUCGGGUUGUAAACCUCUUUCAGCAGGGAAGAAGCGAAAGUGACGGUACCUGCAGAAGAAGCGCCGGCUAACUACGUGCCAGCAGCCGCGGUAAUACGUAGGGCGCGAGCGUUGUCCGGAAUUAUUGGGCGUAAAGAGCUCGUAGGCGGCUUGUCACGUCGGUUGUGAAAGCCCGGGGCUUAACCCCGGGUCUGCAGUCGAUACGGGCAGGCUAGAGUUCGGUAGGGGAGAUCGGAAUUCCUGGUGUAGCGGUGAAAUGCGCAGAUAUCAGGAGGAACACCGGUGGCGAAGGCGGAUCUCUGGGCCGAUACUGACGCUGAGGAGCGAAAGCGUGGGGAGCGAACAGGAUUAGAUACCCUGGUAGUCCACGCCGUAAACGGUGGGCACUAGGUGUGGGCGACAUUCCACGUCGUCCGUGCCGCAGCUAACGCAUUAAGUGCCCCGCCUGGGGAGUACGGCCGCAAGGCUAAAACUCAAAGGAAUUGACGGGGGCCCGCACAAGCGGCGGAGCAUGUGGCUUAAUUCGACGCAACGCGAAGAACCUUACCAAGGCUUGACAUACACCGGAAAACCCUGGAGACAGGGUCCCCCUUGUGGUCGGUGUACAGGUGGUGCAUGGC
rnacentral:rRNA from 1 species